GUGGCUAUAGCUCAGUUGGUUAGAGCAGUAGGUUGUGGACCUACAGGUCGCCGGUUCGAGCCCGGUUAGCCACC
rnacentral:tRNA from 1 species